rnacentral:rRNA from 1 species
AGAGUUUGAUCAUGGCUCAGAAUCAACGCUGGCGGCGUGCCUAAUACAUGCAAGUCGUACGCGAAGACCCCGCAAGGGGUUGUUAGCGUGGCAAACGGGUGAGUAACGCGUGGGCGACCUGCCUUCGAGUGGGGGAUAACCUUCCGAAAGGAGGGCUAAUACCGCAUGACAUACCGCGCUUGGAUGCGCGGAUAUCAAAGCCGGGGAUCGCAAGACCUGGCGCUUGAAGAGGGGCCUACGUCCGAUUAGCUAGUUGGUGGGGUAACGGCUCACCAAGGCGACGAUCGGUAUCCGGCCUGAGAGGGCGGACGGACACACUGGAACUGAGACACGGUCCAGACUCCUACGGGAGGCAGCAGUAGGGAAUUGUUCGCAAUGGGCGCAAGCCUGACGACGCAACGCCGCGUGGAGGAUGAAGGGCUUCGGCUCGUAAACUCCUUUCGACCGAGAUGAAUACCUGCAGGGCUAACAUCUCUGCAGGCUGACAGUAUCGAGGGAAGAAGCCCCGGCUAACUCCGUGCCAGCAGCCGCGGUAAUACGGGGGGGGCAAGCGUUGUUCGGAAUUACUGGGCGUAAAGGGUUCGUAGGUGGUCAACUAAGUCAUACGUGAAAUCCCUCAGCUUAACUGAGGAACUGCGUCUGAUACUGGUUGACUUGAGUGCAGGAGAGGAACGCGGAAUUCCAGGUGUAGCGGUGAAAU